UUCCUACGGGGGGCAGCAGUGAGGAAUAUUGGUCAAUGGGCGGGAGCCUGAACCAGCCAAGCCGCGUGAAGGAAGAAGGCGCCAGGCGUCGUAAACUUCUUUUGUCGGGGAACAAAGGGCGCCACGCGUGGCGUUGUGAGUGUACCCGAAGAAAAAGCAUCGGCUAACUCCGUGCCAGCAGCCGCGGUAAUACGGAGGAUGCGAGCGUUAUCCGGAUUUAUUGGGUGUAAAGGGCGUGUAGGCGGGAGCGCAAGUCAGAUGUGAAAACUCAGGGCUCAACCCUGAGCCUGCAUUUGAAACUGUGU
rnacentral:rRNA from 1 species